UUGCUUUGGCAGCAUGUAUGCUAAAAUUGGAAAGAUACAGAGAAGAUUAGCAUGGCCCCUGUGCAAGGAUGACAUGCAAAUUUGUGAAGUGUUCCAUAUUUUU
ensembl:snRNA U6 U6 spliceosomal RNA